GAUGAACGCUGGCGGCGUGCCUAAUACAUGCAAGUCGAGCGAACGGACGAGAAGCUUGCUUCUCUGAUGUUAGCGGCGGACGGGUGAGUAACACGUGGAUAACCUACCUAUAAGACUGGGAUAACUUCGGGAAACCGGAGCUAAUACCGGAUGAUAUUUUGAACCGCAUGGUUCAAAAGUGAAAGACGGUCUUGCUGUCACUUAUAGAUGGAUCCGCGCUGCAUUAGCUAGUUGGUAAGGUAACGGCUUACCAAGGCAACGUACCAUAGCCGACCUGAGAGGGUGAUCGGCCACACUGGAACUGAGACACGGUCCAGACUCCUACGGGAGGCGGCAGUAGGGAAUCUUCCGCAAUGAGCGAAAGCCUGACGGAGCAACGCCGCGUGAGUGAUGAAGGUCUUCGGAUCUUAAAACUCUGUUAUUAGGGAAGAACAUAUGUGUAAGUAACUGUGCACAUCGUGACGGUACCUAAUCAGAAAGCCACGGCUAACUACGUG
rnacentral:rRNA from 1 species